GACUCCAUAGCUAAGUGGUUAUAGCAUGAGAUUGCAGUGGCAGCAUGUCAGCCGGACUACGUAACAAUCUCGGGGUCGCGUGUUCGAGUCACGCUGGGGUCU